AUCACAAACUCUCCUGUAUGAACUCACUACUCUUCUGAAACAUGACAAUUACAAUCCACAUAGUUCAUUAACAUCUCCAAAAACAUAGUUGUAUUCUCUGAUUAUGAAACAGUUGAAAGUGAAAAUGACUGCAGAGAGAAUUGUGUAAAUCCAUGUUUGCUCCUCUGCUGUUUCAUUCUUCAUUAAAGCUGUCAAAAUUAGUAACUUCAUUAAAAUAAUGUGUGGAAUCAACUGAGUAGAAUUUCUCAUCAUAAUUAUUUGUUUGACCUGUCAAUGCAACAAAAUCCCUAAAAUUACAAAAAAAUAAAACAAAGUCCCCAAAAACAAAAAGACAGCCUUAAUAAGUAACAUUUAUAUGAACAUAAUGAAUUAAAAUAAUAUCAUGUCACUGCUGUGUUUAUGACUGUAAACUGAGGACAGAAUGAGAAACGCCUUCAUAAUUUAUUACUUUUUCACUUUUUCAUUCACUUGACACAUUAUUUAAUAGUGAUUAAUCGUUAUUAAUCUGGACAAACCUCUGAUUAAUAGAAUUAAAAAUUCUAAUGGUUUGACAACCGUAUUCAUUGUGUGUGUGUGUGUGUGUGUGUGUGUGUGUGUGUGUGUGUGUGUUCUGAUUAAUCAUAAGAUAACCACAAAGCCAACUAUGCUUCCCAUGUCUGUAGAUUAAACAUGAAACAUCAAAUACACAAACAUCCUGGUGAAUGAUGAUAAAUACCUGACAAAUACUAUGCAGAAGUGUAAAGUGUACCCAGAAGGUUCCUGCUCACACAUUGUCUGGACUUUUAGCAGUAAAACAAACCCACGGGCAAGGCACGGGUGGUGGUUCACCACCAGCUGAGGACAAAGUCUAGUCCUUAAAUAGAGACAGGCCUGUGAUGGAGGGGAACCCUGGGAGAACAAAUACAAGUUCCUCCAAAGAUGUCACCUCCUCAUACAAGGUACAUUCUUCCAUAUUUACAUGAGACCUAACCAACCAUUCAUAUCAAUACAUUUGGACUUUAACUUGCAGUGUCUGGAAACACCAUCAAUUUGUUGGAGCCACCAACGCCAGAUGAUGAUCCAGAUGAAGGCACCAGUGGAGCCAGAGGAGCAUCAUCAUCAUCAUCUGAUGAUGAUGAUGAUGAUGAGGAGGAGACUGUCUCUAUUGAUUGAAGAAGACUUGAGGUAUCAUGUAAAACUUGUGGAAGUUCUCAUUCAGUCUACAAUGAUAAAGUAAAUGUCAUUACUGUAACAGAACAGAUGAUGUAAAUGGACAUGAUUUAUAUAGAGUUUUAUCACCACUGAAACAGUCUCAGAGCUUUACAUAUCAGCUCAUUCACCAGUGGGACAGGACUAUAAUGCAAGGCACUAGUCGACCACUGGGAGCAACUUAGGGUUCAGUGUCUUGCCCAAGGACACUUCGACACAUAGGUACUGGGAUCGAACCCCCAACCUCUCGAUCAGAAGACGACCCACUACCACCUGAGCCACUGUCGCCCUGUACAGGGUU
rnacentral:lncRNA from 1 species